UAAAUACGACCCUGAAGUGGGAAAUAUUAAAACAUCCACCAUGUAGGCCUGAUCUGGUACCUUCAGAUAUUUUUUGUUUGGGUCCAUUAAAAAAAAUACAGGAAAAAAUUUAUUUUCAAAAGGAGGAGGAAGUCAUGAACAUAGUUAUUGAAUAGUUUGAUGGAAAAUGUGCUGCAUAUUUCAGAGACGGCAAUUUUAAGUUAUUCCGUCGUUGAAAAAAUGCAAAAAUUUGAAUGGUGACUAUGUAGACGAAUAGUAAAAUAUAUCUUACUUAUCAUGUAAAAGUUCUAAAGUAAUAAAUUAAUUUUUUAUUGUUUAGUAUACUUUGUACCUUAUUUAUCAGAUAGCCUACAUACAUUAUAAAAAAUAGCAGAUACUAUUGGUAUUGAAUUGGGAAAAAAAAAAGAACAUCGAAACACAAACUCGAAGAGCUAAUCCAAUUCUUCAAGAAGACUCAAUUGAACAAUAAUAUUGCAUCAUAGUGUUUUUACCAUAUGUUGAUUACUUUAUUUCUCUAUUUACUGAACAAUUUAUAAACCAUAAAACUAUUUUUGAAGUUUUCAGGUCAGGACUACAGACACAUUUGUGAUGAAGUUCUAUCCAUUUAUAUUUAUAAAUAUGUUAUUAAAAAUCUUUUGUGCACUACCAGUGUCAACAACUACUCCUGAACAAUUAUUUUCUAGUUUAAUAAGAAUAAAGUUAUACCUACCUCAGGAAUAGUAUGAAGGAGACAAGACUUAAUGGGUACGCUUUGCUGUCUUGUCACAGAAAAGUCAAAAUUACAACAAAUGAAAUAAUAAAUGAGUUGUAUAUGGAAAAGAGAAAACUAGAAUUUAUUUUAUAAAUUAAA